GCGGAAUGUGUGGUAGGUGAGCGGGGUGGGAAAACCCACUGCGGGCUGAGGCUUCUGCGGGCUUCCACCUGACACUGCACUCUUAACUAUAGAGGAAAUUCCCACGUUUGACCAGACAAAGGGACUAUUUGUUACCCGUGCAGGGAUUUGUAGCUCGGAUGGAUGUUUGCAAUUGGUACGUGUGUGUGUGUGUGUUUGUGUGGGCCCGGCCGGCUGAAGCAGUUUGACAACUUCCCCUCUGUAAACUUCAACUGGGAGUGAUGAAAGACAGCUUAGCGCAAGCAAGCCUUGCAAAGGGCUUGGUGUCUUGUGUAAAUGUGUGACGACGUCAUCACGCCUCCCUGUCAUCCCGUAAGCCGACAGGAAGGACACCAGGAAGUUGAGAGGGCCGUCGGUGUAAGAUGAUGACAGCCGUGCUUUUCCUAUGACAAGAACAAGGGGAAAAUUCAGCAACCUGUCAAUCAUUUCGAGUGACCUGGGAAAAUAUUUCAGUAUUUGCGACUUGGGAAUGAACAUAUGAUGUCCCAAUUGAGGAAGUGAAGAAAAAUAAGAAUAAAGAGAACCCCAAUUUAGCAAUAUAUUCCACAGCCAUAUAUUUCAAAAAUAAGAAACAUUUUAAAAAAUAGUUUUACCCCUCUCACACACUAAAAAAAGGUUAGUUGAUUAGAACAAACUCAUUAAAAUACUUUUUAAAGCAUUUCUUUGCAUUGCAGAUGUUCUCACUCUGAGUAGACAAAACAAUAGCUUUAAAGUCCGAGAUAUUGCGGUUAACAAUGAUAAAAAAUAUUCAUUGUUAAUCGUGUUAUUUAAUUUUAAAAGGUAUUCAUUCGGUGCAAAACAAAUUAAAUGUUGAAAUGUAUAUUAAUAGUAGUGUAUAU